CCUACGGGUGGCAGCAGUGGGGAAUAUUGGACAAUGGGCGAAAGCCUGAUCCAGCCAUGCCGCGUGUGUGAAGAAGGUCUUCGGAUUGUAAAGCACUUUAAGUUGGGAGGAAGGGUUGUAGAUUAAUACUCUGCAAUUUUGACGUUACCGACAGAAUAAGCACCGGCUAACUCUGUGCCAGCAGCC
rnacentral:rRNA from 1 species